rnacentral:rRNA from 1 species
UACGGGGGGAGCAAGCGUUGUUCGGAUUUACUGGGCGUAAAGGGCGCGUAGGCGGCGCGACAAGUCACUUGUGAAAUCUCCGGGCUUAACCCGGAGCGGCCAAGUGAUACUGUAGUGCUAGAGUGCGGAAGGGGCUACUGGAAUUCUCGGUGUAGCGGUGAAAUGCGUAGAUAUCGAGAGGAACACCGGUGGCGAAGGCGGCCAUCUGGACCGCAACUGACGCUGAGGCGCGAAAGCGUGGGGAGCAAACAGG